CCUGCAGCGCACUCCUGCACGGCUCCUCCCGGGGGAAGAAGAGGUCUGACCAUCAGGAUCAAACUUCACCUUCACCUUUCCUCCAGAGAAACAAGACACCAUCAGGCAAUGGUGACUCUUGGGGAGCAGGAAUGUAUAAACCGCCAAGGUCACCUGUAGCCAAGGACUGAGGACA